AUGAGUGACACGAUCUCGCAGGAGGAGUUUUCUGUUCUCAUUACUACCCUAUGGGCCAUUUGGUACGCACGGAGGAAAGUUAUCCAUGAGGGAGUUCUUCAAACACCUUUCGCAACACAUGUAUUUGUAGACAGGUUCCUGGCUGAUCUUGAUUACUUGGCUUCUCCAUCUCCCGCUGCUCGAGAGGUCGUUCCUCGACCAAGGGGUUGGCUACCACCCCCGGAAGAUCAUUCAAAGAUCAACUCCGACGCAGCAGUUUCAAGGGCGGGACGUUAUGGUGCUGUUGGGGUGAUUUGCCGCGAUGAGGAAGGACUGCACCAGCGGGCGUCAGCAAUGGUCUUCGGGAACAUUGAAGACCCGGAGGUGCUGGAGGUACUUGGCAUCCGAGAGAGCUUAGCACUAGCUCAUGAUCUAUACAUCCAAAAGGUGGCGGUGGCUUCAAAUUGCAGAGUUGUGGUGGAGGCAAUUGAGAAGGGUACUUCAGCUGAGUAUGGAGCAGUGGUGUUGGAGAUUAAGCAGUUAUCUAGAGAUUUCAAUUCUUGUAUUUUCUCUCAUGAGUUUAGAAUCUCGAAUGUCGAGGCCCGCAAACUUGCAAAGCAUGCCUUAACUCUAGGGACCGGCCACCAUGUUUGGUUAGGCCACCCUGGAGAGCUUAGUUUCGUCCCUGUAAACGUUGUGACGGGUUAA
rnacentral:rRNA from 1 species